GUAAGUAAGAUCCCUGAAAGAUGAUCAGGUAGAUAGGAUGGAAGUGGAAGUGCUGCGAGGCAUGGAGCGGACCAUUACUAAUCGAUCGAGGACUUAACCAAG
rnacentral:rRNA from 1 species